UCCGAAGUUUCCCUCAGGAUAGCUGGCGCUCGAGAAAACGCAGUCUCACCCGAUAAAGAGAAUGAUUAGAGGUUUUGGGGUCGAAACGGUCUCAACCUAUUCUCAAACUUAAAAUGGAUGAGAGAGCGAUCUUUUCCGGCCAAAGAUCGCUCCCGUUCGGAUGCGUGAGUGCCCAGUGGGCCACUUUUGGUAAGCAGAACUGGCGCUGUGGGAUGAACCAAAAGCAGGGGUUAAGGCGCCCGAUACAGACGCUCAUCAGAGCCCAUGAAAGGUGUUGGUGCUAUGACAG
rnacentral:rRNA from 1 species